UUCAGUUUGUGGAUUUACAGUCUUCCUACUUAUGCAAAAGUGAUGAGCAGACAAGAAAUAGGAAAAGAAAAAUACAUUAGAAAAAUUGUUUGUUUCUGGUUCCCCGCGCUGCGGAUGAUUUGAUUGCCUUGUUCUAUUUCGCGGGUAAAAAGAAACCCUAAUUCUUCCAAUUGGAAAAAUGGCGAAGAAAGCCGAAGUCAGCAGGAAAGAGUUGUUGCAGCGAUGGAGUGUCAUCGAGGAAGAGGACGAUGUCGAUUCUGCUCAUCCCGUCAAACGUCGUCGUCUCCGCCAGCUCAAAGAACAAUGGUUUUCAGACGCUUUCAACUUCUUGAUACAUUUGCCAAAAGACGAUCAUGUUUGGUGUGGUUAUUGGGAUCUGAUGGGGCCUCUUCUCGAGACAUUUUACAAUUAUCUCAAGGACGAAUCCCGAGAUUCUCCUCUCAAGCUCCUGUGGAAAAGAAUUUCAGGAGAAAUGAGAGGCUGCACGCUAUGCAUUCACCAGCACCAUCAAGCGCAAGAGAUGUAUCAAAAUGAAUAUGAGCAGAGCUGUAUCGGUCCUCUACUUGAUGUGCUGCAUGUGCUUGAUGAAGAGCGGAUAACCAUGCACCUCGAGGAUCUUAAUGAUAGAAUAGGAAGAGGGGUGUAUGACGCGUCAUGUGAUUAUGGAGAAGUUGUUAGUGUUAUGUUUGAGGUUUUGAUGUUCCCCAUCUUGCUCGAUGACCAAAACUUGGCUACGGAGUUUCAAAAUUUUAUUGAAGCAGUUGAUAAUUAUCAUGAUUUGGCAUUAGAUGGGCACCAACAGUAUCCGGGAGUUUAUGCAUUGCUUUUUUUCAAAAGUAGAAGGGUUCGAUCUAUAGGUCUUCGCUUGGCUGGGCACAUGGGUAAAUUGAGGAGAUCGACAGACUUGGAUCCAUUGCAGCAUUUACUCAAGAAAUGCAUCCACAUACUGGAAAUGGAAGGCGUGCAGACAGCUCUUGAGACUUCAAGGCCAAGGCUGCAACUGGACCAAAUAACUGUAUGGCUUGGAAUGAAAGCAUUGGUGGGGUUUCUAGAGCCUCAAGCAUUUGAAGAAGGGAUUUUAGAUCGGUAUCCCAUUUUUCUUAGUAUCGUGCUGAACCAUAUCAGUGAUGAUUCAAUUGAGUUUUCUCAUGCAGUUAACUGCCUGAGACUAAUGUUUGAGAAGCUAGGUUGUAAACUGUGGUUGAGGGCUACACUGUCUCCGAGUGUUAUGAGAAAUACACUUCUUGGUCAAUGUUUCCAUACCAGAAAUGAGAAAAGCCACAAAGAAAUUUUUGAUCUUUUCCAACCUUUCUUGCAGUCUCUUGAAGCUCUGCAAGAUGGAGAACAUGAAAAGCAGAGAAGGCAUUUUCUUUACUUUCUUCUGCAUCAAGUGCCUGUGAGCAGUAAUUUUAGCACACUGAUGCGGAAAAAGGCUAAUCAGAUUUCUUUUCUCAUUAUUCUUCGAGGUUACAGGAUGGAUCCUCCUUGUCCACCUUCUGAAUGUGCACACAUGUGGGGCCCUUCUCUUAUGUCCUCCCUGAAGGACACAUCGCUUCACAGUUCUCUUCGGCAACCUGCAAUUGAUCUAAUUCAGACUAUCAUAGUGUCUGAUGCUUCUGCAUUGAUCUCUGUAAUAUUGAAUGGUCAGUUGCAUCCCAGUGAUAAAUCCAUCAGGCCUACUAAUUCUGGUGAUGCAGAUGACGAAGAAGAGAUUCUGUUUGGUCUCCAUGUUAAAGAGAACGAUACUAGUUGUUGGAAAGAGUUCACUUUGCAGCAUAAAGUUGUCUCACAAGUAGAUGGGAACUGGAUGUGUGUACCCAUGCUAUGGUUUGACGUGUUAGUUGAAAUUGAUCCAUUGGCACUUCCGUUAUCCUUUUCCAAGGCUGUUAUUUGGGCCUUAUCUCGGUUUUCACUGAUAGAGACUGAAAAUAGCACAGAAAUGUCUCUUUCUGUACAAAAUUGGUUGGUCACAUGUGCUUCAGAAAUAUCUUAUCUUUUGGGGUGGAAGGUCCCAUCAGGUUCUGAUGAUGGUGGGGAUGGAACAGAGUCUAGAAACUCUAUUAGAACUUCAACUAUGUGCCGGCCUUUAGUUAGGACAUUCAAGAGGUUAACUACACAUUAUACCAUUAGAAUGGAGCAAGGAGAGCUUAGAAAACAGUGGAUCUGGGAGCCCAUGAUGAGCAACAGUUUGAUUCUCUUACUUCUGGAUCCUAAUGAUAAUGCCAGACAAGUGGGUAGGCUGAUUCUCGAACAAGUUUCAAAUGUGCGCGGCCUUACUUGUGGUCUGCAAUUUCUUUGCUCCACACCUUCCUCCUUGUUAGCCAUCCUUCUGGGAUUGAGACAUUCUCUGGAAUUGGUUCAGUUGGAUUCUGUUCUGUCUAACUUUUCAACUUUACAUCACCUGUUCUUCAUCUUGUGCAAAUUGCUCAAAGAUGGAAAUCCAUCUUCUCGGACCCCAUCUCAGAAUUUGCCAGAUGUUGCCGACAUUUCACAAUUUUCUUCUCAAGGUGGAUUUCUAAAGCAACCUGUAUUUGAAUCUUCACACUCUGAUGGUGACAGGCAUUCAUCAAUUGUUAGCUCCACAUGGUGGAAGAAGUUUAGCUGCUUAUUGGCACAAGCAGCUUGGCCUUCAAUACUGAAAUGCUUAGAUGGAGGCAAGGCAUUCACCGAUUACACAGUAUCUCAGUUGACUUGUAUCCGUAUUCUUGAAGUCAUUCCUGUGGUUUUUGAAAGACACCCCAAGGAUUCUGGCAAAAUGUUGGAAACUUUUGAUAGCAUAAAGUGGCUUCAUGACUUGGCUGAUUGGGGGAAGUCAUCACUUGUUGUAGUUGUUAGAUAUUGGAAACAAACAUUAUCUUAUAUGCUUGGCCAAAUCAGAAUAUUGUGCAGUGAUAAUAAAUCUGCUUCAGCAAUUAGUGAUAUUGAGAAACUUAUUUCAUGUGAAAAAGUCUUAAUUGAUGAAGUGAGCAAGCAAGUAGCGCGUCUUUCUGUUUCAUUAAAAGAACAGUGCUCUGCAUUGAAUAAAACGGCUGGUCGGUCAAAAUUUUCACCAUUGAAACAGUCAUUAUUAGUCGAUGAAACUGAAGAGACUAUCCUAGAUUCCGAGCCAUUGGUCAACUUGGAGAGAGACAAUGUCAUAAUUCUUUCUGAUGAUGAGAAGGAAUCAGAUGUUUCUGCCCACGUGGGGGUUUCUACUAGUUGGUCGGCUAAAACUACAUAUCACGAUGCUCAUGCUGGUACAAGCGCAGCUGGAGGAGAGUCGGAAGCUGACUUGAAAGAGAAAGAUGUUGGUGGUCUGGUAGUCUCCUCUGAGGCUGAUUCUCGGAUAGGUUUUUAUUCUACCGAUCUUAUUCAGAAAAUGAAUUCAGAUAUUACUGGAGGCGUAUAUGCAUCUCAAUCCUCUGUUCCAGCAGAGCCAUCAGAGAGUAAGGGACAGGAAAUUAAAACAAGAGAGGGUGUAGUCAAUUGUAUCCUAUCAAGGAACAAUUCAAGUUUGACGAAAUUACCAGAUGGAGCUGUGAAUUCCAAAGAAGGGUAUUCAUCCACAUCUCUAAUAUCUUCAAGAAACAAGACCUUUAAUGAUUUAAAUAUCGCUUCCGCUAGCAAAAAUCAGGAGACCGCAAAUAAAGCUCUGAAAACUAGAGAUGGAAUCAUAAAAGAGAUAGUAUGUGAUGAAGAUGAUGAUGCAUGGAAAUUCUCAUUUUUCAAACCACCAAAGCAUCAACAGCCCCUAAAUAUGAAGCCAAUCAUUUCCGGUCCUAAACGGCAAGUUAUCCAGCUUUCCGUGCCUCUAAAGAGCAGACCUGGCUCUAUGAGGUUGAGUGGUGGAAUGAAAAGAUUUCAGCCCCCUAGGCUUGAGGACUGGUAUAAACCCAUCUUGGAGCUGAAUUUCUUUGUUGCUGUUGGCUUAGCUUCUGGAACUGAGAAAGACUCUCAAAGUGUAGGCAAACUAAAGCAAGUUCCUGUUUGUUUCCAAUCACCUGAUGGGUAUUUUGAAAUUUUCCGGCCCUUGGUACUGGAAGAAUUCAAGGCGCAACUGCAGAGUUCCUACCAGGAGAUGGCUUCUUCUGAGGAACUGUGCUGCGGAAGUUUAUCUGUGCUGUCUGUUGAGAGAAUUGACGAUUUCCAUGUUGUUCGCUUUGUACAAGAUGAAGAUAAUUCCCCUGGAUCUAGAAGCCUGAUGGAGAACGAUCUCAUUGUACUUACUAGACAACCUCUGCAGAACUCUACCAGUGAUGUACACACUGUUGGAAAGGUUGAGAGACGUGAGAAAGACAACAAAAGGAGGUCAAAUAUCUUAGCUAUUAGACUGUAUCUUCAAGCAUCUCCUCGUCUCGAUCGAGCUAGAAAGCUUCUUACUGAGAGAAGCAAGUGGUAUGUUAGUCGUAUCAUGUCCAUUACCCCUCAACUUCGAGAGUUCCAAGCAUUGUCAUCAAUAAGGGAUAUUCCUCUACUUCCAAUCAUCUUGAACCCGGUCAAUUGUCGUUCUAGUCAAUAUGAAUCAGAAACUCAAAGUAUGAGUAAACUCCCCCAACCUCUGCAGCAGAUUCUUAAGUCGUCAUUUAAUGACAGUCAGCUGCAGGCUAUCAGUCUUGCAACUGGACCAUUUGACUUGAAAAAGGACUUUGAUUUGACUCUUAUACAGGGACCUCCAGGAACUGGAAAGACCCGAACAAUUCUGGCCAUCGUCAGCAGUCUGCUUGCUCUCUCUCAAACGAAUGAUUCCAAAAGAUUAAGAGAUGGUGGAUCAGCCUGUAGUAAUAGCUCUAGCACUAGUCAACGGAUCAGUCAGUGUGCUGCAAUUGCGAGAGCCUGGCAGGAUGCAGCAUUGGCUAGACAAAUAAAUGAUGAUGUGGAAAAGAAUAACAGAUCCACAGGAAGCAGCAGUAGAGGCCGGAUUCUCAUUUGUGCUCAAUCCAAUGCUGCUGUUGAUGAGCUAGUUGCAAGGAUAUACAAUGAAGGUCUCUAUGGUUGUGAUGGACACAGGUACAAGCCAUAUCUUGUGAGGGUUGGUAAUGCAAAGACAGUCCAUCCAAAUUCUCUUCCUUUCUUCAUCGAUACACUGGUUGAAAAUCGUUUAGGCGAAGAAAAGACGAAUGCACAUGAUGAAAAGAGUGGGACUUUUGCAGAUUCUUUGACCAUACUGCGUACUAACUUAGAAAAAUUAGUGGAACAGAUCAGAUACUAUGAAGCCAAGCGGGCUAGCUUGCAGGAGGAAAAUUCCGAAGUUAAAAAUUUCAUGGAAGGAGAUCUUGAAGAUGGAAAGAUAUUUUCUGAUGCCGAAUUAAAAGGAAAGCUAAGGCAGUUAUACGAAAAGAAGAAAGCCAUGUAUACAGAUCUUGCCAGCUCCCAGGCGAGAGAGAGGAAAGCCAACGAAGAAAUGAGAGCCCUAAGACAUAAAUUUCGGAAUGCUAUCUUGAAGGAGGCUGAAAUUGUGGUGACUACACUAAGUGGCUGCGGGGGAGAUCUAUAUGGGGUGUGCUCUGAAUCUACCUCAAGCCAUAAAUUUAUCAAUGCAUCUGAAACCACUCUGUUUGAUGCUGUUGUGAUUGAUGAAGCUGCUCAAGCCCUGGAGCCUGCCACUUUGAUUCCACUUCAGCUCCUAAAAUCGAAGGGAACCAAAUGCAUCAUGGUUGGUGAUCCAAAGCAGCUUCCUGCCACAGUUUUAUCAAAUGUUGCUAGCAAAUACAUGUUCCAGUGCAGCAUGUUUGAAAGACUGCAGCGGGCAGGUCAUCCUGUAAUCAUGCUCACCCAACAGUAUAGGAUGCAUCCAGAGAUUUGUCGGUUUCCUUCUUUGCAUUUCUAUGAGGGGAAAUUGCAGAAUGGAGAUCAGAUGUCUGGCAGAGCUGCAUCAUUCCAUGAGACUCGGUGCCUUGGACCAUAUGUAUUUUUUGACAUCAUUGAUGGCAUGGAGCUCCGUGGUAAGAACUCUGCGUCACUCUCCCUGUACAAUGAGUCUGAGGCUGAUGCUGCUGUUGAAGUGUUGCGAUAUCUUAGAAAAAGUUAUCCGUCAGAAUUUUGGGGUGGAAGAAUUGGCAUCAUAACACCUUACAAGCGUCAAUUGUCACUUUUGCGUUCACGGUUCACCAGCGCCUUUGGAUCUUCUAUUGCCUCUGAUAUGGAAUUUAAUACAGUUGAUGGUUUUCAAGGUCGAGAAGUUGAUAUCCUGCUACUUUCUACUGUUAGAGCAUCUGGAUCCUGCGAUGAAACACCUAGAUCUAGUAAUAUUGGAUUUGUUGCUGAUGUUAGACGGAUGAAUGUAGCUUUGACUAGGGCUAAACUCUCUCUUUGGGUUUUUGGUAAUGCAAGAACAUUGCGGUCAAACCAGACCUGGGCAGCUCUUUUAGAAGAUGCAAAACAAAGGAAUUUGAUUGUAUCUGCCAGAAAGCCGUACAGUUCGAUACCCAAGUUCUGUUCAGAAGUCAGAUCAAAGGCAGGGGAUUCCUUGACUAGUCAGUUUGAUGAAGAUGGGCGGCUCAAAGCUACAAGGGGACGUGUUAAUACGCAGAAAACUAUAAAACAUACUUCUGAAAGGAAGAGAAAAUGCAUUGAUACUACACAGGAGAGAGGUUGUAAUGGUGAAGAAGUUUCCUGUUCAGGGAGGGAUGCUGCAGUAGAUGUCAAAAGAAGGAACAGAGAUGGAAGGCAAACAAAGUUUUUAGAGGCCAAGGAGGCGGCCUCAGUUAAAGGUCCAAAUAAUGACGACAAAGUAUUGAAAGGUGCAAUGUCGGAAUUGCAAGAAAAUCAAGAGAAGACUGAUAUAAGCCCCAGGUUCAGGGAUAAUAACAAGCAAAUUAAGGUGGCAAGAGCUGAUUAUGGAAAGGGGAGCAAUAAUAACAAUGUUAGGACACAUUCAACUAAUACUGGAAAGGAGAUGAGUAGAAGUCAAAAACAUAUGAGAGCUCUUGCUGAUGAAGCGCAUUCAAAAACUAUCAAGCACGAUAAGCUACCAGAGGUGAAAAUUGGUACAUCAUCUUCUGAGAGAACAGUCAAGGAGAAGGGUGAACCGCAAGCUUCUAAUCAUGCUGAAAUACGCAAUGAUACAAUAAAGAAAAGGAAACAACAGCGUGAAGCUGUUGAGGCCCUCCUGUCUUCAUCUCUUAUAUCUUCAAAGAAGUCAGAAUCAGUGCUGAAAUCGUCUGUGAAGAGGAAUCUUUCAACAAGUACCAUUAAACCUCAUAAACGAAGAAAUGAUUAGGCAUUUUCUAACAAAGUACCCCAAGAUACAUGAUUAUUCUGAGAAGGUGAUCAGAUUCAUGAAUGAGAGUUUGGUUUAAUCUGCAAGGAGUUUGAAAGGGAGCUCUGAAGAAGAAGAUGCUAUGUGUCAAAUGGUAUUUACCAUGUAAGUAUAUCGACCAGGAAGAUAUUAGUGUUUCAACUGUCAUGAUAGUAUGUUGCAAUGAUGGAAAUGUAUUAUUGAGAGGCCGCGGCUGUGGGCCCCAGGGAAGAUCUUAUUUUGGUGAGAAUGAAUGAUAUGCACAGAGCUGCAGUUUCUCAACUUAUCACUAAAACAGAAACAAAUACAAGCCAAAAUGUGACAUUAUUUGCUGCUGCUGCUUUCCAUCCCAACCAUAAUCAAUCCAUGUGGUGUAUGGUGCCAUAAUGUAUUUGUUGUAUUCUAUGCAACUGUUGCACAGCAGGGGCUCAAAUUCAUCCUCUCUCCCUCUCUCUAAAUGAGUAAAUGUGUUUGAUUUCUACGAGGGAGGGUGCUGACACAAUGAAUGACACCGUCCAUCUCCGGUUCAUGCAUUUUGCUCAUGGACAAAAAUAAAUAAUGUUUAUUUUUUUAAA